GCAGGCCGUGAAAUCGUAUUUAAUACAGUAUUUGUUUUUACUAUUAAGACUUCGACUUUUCCUUUUACCCUUACGUGAUUCUCAUGAUAAAUCAGUGUUAGCUUCAGAGCGCGAUUGGCCUUCUAGGUAUGUAUAUAAUUAGGUUUGAAGACUCAUUUGAUAUCAUUCAGCUCUGUAGCAGCAACUUGAUAACACAAUCAAAAUGUUCAAACUGUUUGUAUUCGCCUGCUUCCUGGCCUUCGCUGCCGCUAAGCCCAGCGUGUUUCCCGUGGCAUACACAGCAGCAGCGUACACCGCUCCCGUCGCAGCGGCGUACACAGCCCCCGUAGCGUACUCGGCCUAUACCGCUCCUGUCGCUUACUCGGCUUAUUCUACUUAUGGAUACGCUUCUCCAUACGCCGCUGCUUACUAUGUGCGCUGAAAGACAUAUAUUAUUGAUUGAUGGAUUGAUUAGUUUGAACAAUAAAUAAAUUAUUUUCACAAGA